AUGAACGCUGGCGGCGUGCCUCAUCCCUGCCAGUCGCGCGAACAGACGAGGAGCUUGCUCCUUUGACGUUAGCGGCGGACGGGUGAGUAACACGUAGGUAACCUACCUAUAAGACUGGGAUAACUUCGGGAAACCGGAGCUAAUACCGGAUAAUAUUUCGAACCGCAUGGUUCGAUAGUGAAAGAUGGCUUUGCUAUCACUUAUAGAUGGACCUGCGCCGUAUUAGCUAGUUGGUAAGGUAACGGCUUACCAAGGCAACGAUACGUAGCCGACCUGAGAGGGUGAUCGGCCACACUGGAACUGAGACACGGUCCAGACUCCUACGGGAGGCAGCAGUAGGGAAUCUUCCGCAAUGGGCGAAAGCCUGACGGAGCAACGCCGCGUGAGUGAUGAAGGUCUUCGGAUCGUAAAACUCUGUUAUUAGGGAAGAACAAACGUGUAAGUAACUGUGCACGUCUUGACGGUACCUAAUCAGAAAGCCACGGCUAACUACGUG
rnacentral:rRNA from 1 species